CUUGUGACUGAGCGGCGGACGGGUGAGUAACGCGUGGGCAACCUGCCUUACACAGGGGGAUAACAGUUAGAAAUGACUGCUAAUACCGCAUAAGACCACAAAACCGCAUGGUUUGGUGGUAAAAACUCCGGUGGUGUAAGAUGGGCCCGCGUCUGAUUAGGUAGUUGGUGGGGUAACGGCCUACCAAGCCGACGAUCAGUAGCCGACCUGAGAGGGUGACCGGCCACAUUGGGACUGAGACACGGCCCAGACUCCUACGGAAGGCAGCAG
rnacentral:rRNA from 1 species